ACCAUUUCUACGGAAGGCAGCAGGCGCGUAAAUUACCCAAUCCUGACUCAGGGAGGUAGUUAAUAGAAAUAAUGUGCUCGUCUCGACUAUGAGACUGGGAAUAUAAUGAAUGCAUUUUAAAAUAUUGUAUGAAUCCUAUUGGAGGGCAAGUCUGGUGCCAGCAGCCGCGGUAAUUCCAGCUCCAAUAGCAUAUAUUAAAGUUGUUGCAGUUAAAAGGCUCGUAGUUGAACCUCCGGCAUUAUUUAUAAUGUCUGCUUACGAAAUCUGAAGAUACUGAAAAUGUUUCAUCAGUCGGAGUAAGCCUUUACCGUGAACAAAAUAGAGUGCUCAAAGCAGGCUAUUGCUUGAAUAAUACAGCAUGGAAUAAUAAAAUAGGACUAAAUCCAUUUUAUUGGUUAUUGGAUAUAGUAAUGAUUAACAGGAACAGUUGGGGGCAUUUGUAUUUAAUAGUCAGAGGUGGAAUUCUUAGAUUUAUUAAAGACAAACUAAUGCGAAAGCAUUUGCCAAGGAUGUUUUCAUUAAUCAAGAA
rnacentral:rRNA from 1 species